rnacentral:rRNA from 1 species
CUCCUACCGAUUGAAUGGUCCGGUGAAGUGUUCGGAUCGCGGCGACGUGGGCGGUUCGCCGCUGGCGACGUCGCGAGAAAUCCACUGAACCUUAUCAUUUAGAGGAAGGAAAAGUCGUAACAAGGUU